UCCGGGGUAGCUCAAUGGUAGAGCAAUUCGCUGUUAACGAAGAGGUUGUGGGUUCGAAUCCCACCCCCGGAG
rnacentral:tRNA from 1 species